rnacentral:rRNA from 1 species
GACGAACCGUGCAAACGUUGUUCGGAAUCACUGGGCUUAAAGGGCGCGUAGGCGGGCCAGCCAGUCUGUGGUGAAAGCCUCCAGCUUAACUGGAGAAGUGCCGUGGAUACUGCUGGCCUCGAGGAGGGUAGGGGCAUCUGGAACGGUCGGUGGAGCGGUGAAAUGCGUUGAUAUCGACCGGAACUCCGGUGGCGAAGGCGAGGUGCUGGGCCCUUUCUGACGCUGAGUGCGCGAAAGCCAGGGGAGCGAAUGGG